GUUCCGAUGGUCUAGUGGUUAGAUAGUCCGCCUCGGAUGCGGGAGGUCGUUGGUUCCAUCCCCGGCCAAGACA